rnacentral:rRNA from 1 species
GAUGAACGCUGGCGGUAUGCUUAACACAUGCAAGUCGAACGGACUCUUCGGAGUUAGUGGCGGACGGGUGAGUAACGCGUGAGAAUCUGGCUUUGGGUUCGGGACAACCACUGGAAACGGUGGCUAAUACCGGAUGUGCCGAGAGGUAAAAGAGAAAUUGCCUGAAGAUGAGCUCGCGUCUGAUUAGCUAGUUGGUGAGGUAAAGGCUCACCAAGGCAGCGAUCAGUAGCUGGUCUGAGAGGAUGACCAGCCACACUGGGAAUGAGACACGGCCCAGACUCCUACGGGAGGCAGCAGUGGGGAAUUUUCCGCAAUGGGCGAAAGACUGACGGAGCAAUACCGCGUGAGGGAAGAAGGCUCUUGGGUUGUAAACCUCUUUUCUUAGGGAAGAACAAAAUGACGGUACCUAAGGAAUCAGCAUCGGCUAACUCCGUG